AAUCAACGCUGGCGGCGUGCCUAACACAUGCAAGUCGAACGAGAAAGUGGAGCAAUCCAUUAGUAAAGUGGCGCACGGGUGAGUAACACGUGACUAACCUACCCUUGAGUGGGGGAUAACUUCGGGAAACCGAGGCUAAUACCGCAUAAUACCUACGGGUCAAAGGAGCAAUUCGCUUUAGGAGGGGGUCGCGGUCGAUUAGUUAGUUGGCGGGGUAAUGGCCCACCAAGACUGUGAUCGAUAUCCGGCCUGAGAGGGCGCACGGACACACUGGAACUGAAACACGGUCCAGACUCCUACGGGAGGCAGCAGUGGGGAAUCUUGCGCAAUGGGGGAAACCCUGACGCAGCAACGCCGCGUGGAGGAUGAAGUCCCUUGGGACGUAAACUCCUUUCGAUCGGGACGAUAAUGACUGUACCGGAAGAAGAAGCCCCGGCUAACUUCGUGC
rnacentral:rRNA from 1 species